GCCCGAGAUAAUACAGGGGAAUCAUUUAUCAGGCCAUUUACAUUAGAGCUAGUUAUACAUCUCGGUCGAGGCAAAAUUGAUCGAAAAGUACAUGGAAUCGAGAGCUACAGUAACUGGUCAUUAAGCACAAACAUCAAGUCUACCACUCAGAGCUGUUGCUGUUGAAGGUGCACAACUGAUGUCCUAUGUGGAUUUGAAGAAGGGGUCCUGACAACACUGUGUGCUGAUCACUUCCUGAUGGACCUGUGGUCAAAGGUCCUUUUACUUACAAAUUUUCCUACAAAGGACAGGUGAUACAGAAUGGUCCAACUACUUACAGUGUUCUGCGGCAACAAGGCCAGUCCCAUCUUUUGCCAAACCGGGGAC